rnacentral:lncRNA from 1 species
AAAGCCAUGUGCAUUUACUUAAUUAAUUAUGGGAUGUCCUUGGGUGGGUUUCCUGCAUUCCCUUUCCGCACUUGGGGGGAAAGGUGUGGGGGUAAGGAAGGAUUACAGAGUGGAGGAUCAAGCAGGAUGGGUUCAAGAACCACAGUGAAUCCUUCCAGAAACGGCGUCGUAUCUAAAUUGGGUUGCAGUUUUAUAGUGUGUGUGUGACCAUUUAUCUUUCAUUUCGGGAGUCGUAGUUAGCUCUUAACCACCAAGCUCGGGCGGCUCAGUAUGUCACGGCACCGUCCUAAUCCCACCCUGGAUCAGCGUAACAGCGCACAUCGGAAAUGUAAGCUUCGCAAAUAAAUCCAUUUUCACGUACUCGAGUCGUAUAACAGAAAAUUUCCAGUUAAACCACAUUGUUAAAUUAAAGGUUGCAGCCCAUAUUCAAAAGCCCAUCCGCAAGCUCUGGGGUUCUGCUGAAGAGGCACUUACAGUAGUUCAGAGAACGAUGCAGUGAAGUAAAAAUGAAUCAACUUUUAGAAACCACACAAAAAGCUUCGUCUUUGCAACUGUGGAAGUCAAGGCCAGAAAUCACUCACUAUAUCAUCUGAUAUUCCUCUGAUCGUUAUACCUAUUCUCAGUGUUAAGGAAAUGAGACCAGUUGAAACGUCCACAUUAAAAUAAGAAGAAGGAGAGAAGGUUUUCUAAUUGCAGUUAAUGUCAUCGUUAAAUAAAGAAUGCCAUAAAGGAACGAGAUCAGCAGUGACCUUCUGCACAGUUUCCAAAGCCUCGCCAACCUACCUCCGUG